rnacentral:rRNA from 1 species
AUUGAACGCUAGCGGGAUGCUUUACACAUGCAAGUCGAACGGAGUGGCGAACGGGUGAGUAAUGUAUCGGAACGUGCCCAGUAGCGGGGGAUAACUACGCGAAAGCGUAGCUAAUAACGCAUACUCUUGGAGCGGCAGAUAUCGGAUUAGCUUGUUGGUGAGGUAACGGAUCACCAAGGCGACGAUCCGUAGCUGGUUUGAGAGGACGACCAGCCACACUGGGACUGAGACACGGCCCAGACUCCUACGGGAGGCAGCAGUGGGGAAUUUUGGACAAGGGGGGCAACCCUGAUCCAGCCAUCCCGCGUGUGCGAUGAAGGCCUUCGGGUUGUAAAGCACUUUUGGCAGGAAAGCGGUACCUGCAGAAUAAGCACCGGCUAACUACGUGCCAGCAGCCGCGGUAAUAC